AAAGCAUAUAAGUAGGUGGAGGAAAAGAAACCGAAAGGGAAUCUCUUGGUAAUGGCGAAUGAAAAGAGACAUGCCCAGUGUCAAAAUCAGUUUAUCUGACUUGUAGGCUGUAGGGGAUUGCCAACUUGGGGGCAGGUGCAAGUCUCUUGGAAAGGAGCACCAGCGAGGGUCAGGGUCCUGCCUGUCACCUGUCAUCCCUUGUAGACGGUUUGCCCAAAAAGAGUCGUGUUCUUCUGGAAUAGAGCACCAAUUGGGUGGUACUCUGUGCCCAAGGAGCAUUACGUGCUUGAGACCAAUAGCGAACAAGUACCAUGAGGGAAGGGUGAAAAGGACUUUGGAAAGAGGGUUAAGAGGGCGUGAAGCUGCUGGAAGGGAAGUAGAUUGAAUCUCUCCUUGUGGUAAGAUUGCGGGUUGCAGUCUCUGUCUGGAAUGCUGCCAUCUGUGCCUCUUGCCGCUUGGUUGGGCUUGGCGUUCUGCUGAGAAAUGUGGUGAGGGCUGGCUGAAGGGUUGUAACCUGAACCAUCCUCUUGCUUGCUCUUGGCAAACCGCUUGUGCUCGACCAAACAGUUCAAUCUUACCCGUCUUGAAACACGGACCAAGGAGUCUAAUGCGUGUGCAAGUGUGCAGGAUCUAAACCUGACAGCAUAACGAAUGUUACUUGCUGGGAUUCUUGCACCAGCAGCCAACUGACACUUGGGAGAUGUUUGCGUGUGAGCACACUUGCUAGGACCCGAAAGGUGGUGAACUAUGCCUGAGAAGGGUGACGUCAGGGGAAACUCUGAUGGAAGCUCGUAGCGCUACUGACGUGCAAAUCGUUCGUCUGACUUGGGUAUAGGGGCGAAAGACUAAUCGAACCAUCUAGACGU
rnacentral:rRNA from 1 species